UACAUUUUAGUGUAUGGUGCACAUGAAUUUUUGAAAUUCUUGGAAUUAGUUUAAAUCUAUUAAAUGUAA
rnacentral:tRNA from 1 species